AUUCUUAUGGCCCCUGAAACAGGGACCGAGCUGUAUCAACCCCUGCCUCUGGAGGAAUAUACAGGAGUUGCCACCUGGCGAAGAUCUGGAGGAGCUGCUACCCUGUGAAUACCCUGAGGAGCUGCUGGAACUGUUGGCUGCAGAGUACCCUGAAGAGUCUGAGGGCUCAUUAGCAACAAAGCCCUAUGACCAGAUGAGACUGGCAUCUUUCGAGAGACUGAGUAACAAAAAGUAAGAUGUUUCAAAUGACAAGUGUCAUCUCCAAGAAUGAUUGCUAGCAAGUUCUCUGGCAGGUGCUGGUGAAAACUCAGGAGCAAAGAGGGGUAGACAUAAGAAUAAAGUAGGAACCAUCAGAGAAAACUGAAGACAGUCUCCAGAGGGUUAUGCUAACUUAAGCUGAGAGAGCAAUUAUACCACUAAAAUGAAGAAGGCACAUUCAAGAAAACAGAGCGAAUAGAAGUGAAAAUCAAUAGAAUAAGAGACCUCAGCUUUGAAAAUAUUUUUUUAAUUGAGUCUGAUUAGCUAUUGGUUUCCUCUACUAACCUGUAUAAAGGCAAACUGGUGCAAUACUUGACUCACACAAAACUUAAAGGAUGUCUUUAUUGUUCAUCAACAACUAUUAAUGGCAUCUUUAAUUUAUUAAUGUUUAUCUAGGAUUCUGGUUACAUUUGGUAAAGGUAGACAAAAUAUGUAUACAAAGUUCUUUAAAAAAAAC